rnacentral:rRNA from 1 species
UGAGGAAUCUUCCACAAUGGGGGCAACCCUGAUGGAGCAACGCCGCGUGCAGGAUGAAGGCCUUCGGGUUGUAAACUGCUUUUAUAAGUGAGGAAUAUGACGGUAACUUAUGAAUAAGGAUCGGCUAACUACGUGCCAGCAGCCGCGGUCAUACGUAGGAUCCAAGCGUUAUCCGGAGUGACUGGGCGUAAAGAGUUGCGUAGGCGGAAGUCAAAGCGAAUAGUGAAAUCUGGUGGCUCAACCAUACAGGCUAUUAUUCGAACUCGGCUUCUCGAGAAUGGUAGAGGUUACUGGAAUUUCUAGUGUAGGAGUGAAAUCCGUAGAUAUUAGAAGGAACACCAAUGGCGUAGGCAGGUAACUGGACCAUUUCUGACGCUAAGGCACGAAAGCGUGGGGAGCG